UGGUCAAGUUAUUAAGGGUGCAGGGCGGAUGCCUUGGCACUAGGAGCCGAUGAAGGACGUGAUAAGCUGCGAUAAGCUUCGGGGAGUUGCACGUAAACUUUGAUCCGAAGAUUUCCGAAUGAGGAAACUCACUUAGAGUAAUGUCUAAGUAUCAUUAAGUGAAUACAUAGCUUAAUGAGGGGAACUCAGGGAACUGAAACAUCUAAGUACCUGAAGGAAGAGAAAGAAAUUCGAUUCCGUAAGUAGCGGCGAGCGAACGCGGAUUAGCCCAAACCAAUAAAGUUUUCUUUAUUGGGGUUGCGGACAUAUCAUAACGAAGAGGUAUCGUAAUUGAAGAGGUUUGGAAAGACCCACCACAGAAGGUAAUAGUCCUGUAUGUUAAACGAGAAGACUUUAGAUAUGAUCCAGAGUACCACGGGACACGUGAAACCCUGUGGGAAGCAGGAGGGACCACCCUCCAAGGCUAAAUACUACCUAGUGACCGAUAGCGUAUAGUACCGUGAGGGAAAGGUGAAAAGAACCCCGGGAGGGGAGUGAAAUAGAACCUGAAACCCUGCACUUACAAGCUGUGGAAGCACAUUUCUUGUGUGACCGCGUACUUUUUGUAGAACGGGCCAACGAGUUACGUUAAGUAGCAAGGUUAAGCACUUAAGGUGCGGAGCCGUAGCGAAAGCGAGUUUUAACUGAGCGUUCAGUUACUUGACGUAGACCCGAAACCGGGCGACCUACCCAUGAGCAGGAUGAAGCGAAAGUAAAAUUUCGUGGAGGUCCGAACCCACGAGCGUUGAAAAGCUCGGGGAUGACUUGUGGGUAGCGGUGAAAUUCCAAUCGAGCCCGGAGAUAGCUGGUUCUCCCCGAAAUAGCUUUAGGGCUAGCCUCAAGGUGAGAGAUACGGAGGUAGAGCACUGAAUGUCCUAGGGGGUAUUGCACCUACCGAAGACUAUCAAACUCCGAAUGCCGUCAUCUUAUACUUGGGAGUCAGACUGUGGGUGAUAAGAUUCAUAGUCGAAAGGGCAACAGCCCAGAUCGUCAGCUAAGGUCCCUAAAUGUAAGUUAAGUGGUAAAGGAUGUGGGAUUGCACAGACAACCAGGAUGUUGGCUUAGAAGCAGCCACUCAUUCAAAGAGUGCGUAAUAGCUCACUGGUCGAGUGAUCCUGCGCCGAAGAUUUCCGGGGCUAAAACUUACUACCGAAGCUACGGCAUCAGUAAUGAUGGGUAGGGGAGCUUCCCAUACGGGUUGAAGCAUGACCGUAAGGACAUGUGGACAGUAUGGGAGUGAGAAUGUUGGCAUGAGUAGCGAGAUGUGGGUGAGAAUCCCACAGGCCGUAAACCCAAGGUUUCCAGGGGAAGGUUCGUCCGCCCUGGGUUAGUCGGGACCUAAGCUGAGGCCGAAAGGCGUAGGUGAUGGACAACAGGUUGAUAUUCCUGUACUACCGAUAACCGUUUGAGAGAAGGGAUGACACAGUAGGAUAAGCUAAGCACACUGUUGGUUAUGUGUGCCCAAGCAUUGAGGCAGUCAAAGUAGGCAAAUCCGCUUUGAUAAUGCUGGGAUGUGAUGGGGAGCGAAAUUUAGUAGCGAAGUAGCUGAUUUCACACUGUCAAGAAAAGUCUCUAUCGAGGUUAAAGGUACCCGUACCGCAAACCGACACAGGUGGGUGAGGAGAGUAUCCUAAGGCCAGCGAGAGAACUGUUGUUAAGGAACUCGGCAAAAUGACCCCGUAACUUAGGGAUAAGGGGUGCCACCAUCAGGUGGCCGCAGAGAAUAGGCCCAAGCGACUGUUUACCAAAAACAUAGGUUUCUGCUAAGUCGCAAGACGAUGUAUAGGAGCUGACGCCUGCCCGGUGCUGGAAGGUUAAGGGGAUCUGUUAGAGCAAUCGAAGCAGUGAACUUAAGCCCCAGUAAACGGCGGCCGUAACUAUAACGGUCCUAAGGUAGCGAAAUUCCUUGUCGGGUAAGUUCCGACCCGCACGAAAGGCGUAACGAUUUGGGCACUGUCUCAACAACAGACUCGGUGAAAUUGUAAUUCCGGUGAAGAUGCCGGAUACCUGCGACAGGACGGAAAGACCCCAUGGAGCUUUACUGUAGCUUGACAUUGGGUCUUGGUACUACAUGUACAGGAUAGGUGGGAGGCUUUGAAACCAGGACGCCAGUUUUGGCGGAGCCAUCCUUGGGAUACCACCCUUGUAGUACUGGGACUCUAACCAUAGGCCAUGAAUCUGGUCUUGGGACACUGUCAGGUGGGCAGUUUGACUGGGGCGGUCGCCUCCCAAAAGGUAACGGAGGCGCUCAAAGGUUCUCUCAGUACGGUCGGAAAUCGUACGUAGAGUGUAAAGGCAAAAGAGAGCUUGAUUGCAAGACAUACAGGUCGAGCAAGGAUGAAAAUCGGACUUAGUGAUCCGGUGGUUCUGCGUGGAAGGGCCAUCGCUCAACGGAUAAAAGCUACCCUGGGGAUAACAGGCUUAUCUCCCCCAAGAGUCCACAUCGACGGGGAGGUUUGGCACCUCGAUGUCGGCUCAUCACAUCCUGGGGCUGUAGUAGGUCCCAAGGGUUGGGCUGUUCGCCCAUUAAAGUGGUACGCGAGCUGGGUUCAGAACGUCGUG
rnacentral:rRNA from 1 species